GCUUUUGUAGCUUAAAGUAAAGCGAGAAGCUUUUAACUUCUUGAUGCAUAUGUGCCAAAAGCU
rnacentral:tRNA from 1 species